rnacentral:rRNA from 1 species
UUUUCCGGUUGAUCCUGCCGGACCCGACUGCUAUCAGAGUGGGGUUAAGCCAUGCGAGUUAACGUAGCAAUACGUGGCAUACGGCUCAGUAACACGUAGUCAACAUGCCCAGGGGACGUGGAUAACCUCGGGAAACUGAGGAUAAACCGCGAUAGGCCAAGAUUUCUGGAAUGAAUCAUGGUUUAAAUCUAUAUGGCCCCUGGAUUGGACUGCGGCCGAUCAGGCUGUUGGUGAGGUAAUGGCCCACCAAACCUGUAACCGGUACGGGCUCUGAGAGGAGGAGCCCGGAGAUGGGCACUUAGACAAGGGCCCAGGCCCUAUGGGGCGCAGCAGGCGCGAAACCUCUGCAAUAAGCGAAAGCUUGACAGGGUUACUCUGAGUGAUUUCCGCUAAGGAAGUCUUUUGGCACCUCUAAAAAUGGUGCAGAAUAAGGGGUGGGCAAGUCUGGUGUCAGCCGCCGCGGUAAUACCAGCACCCCGAGUGGUCGGGACGAUUAUUGGGCCUAAAGCAUCCGUAGCCGGUCCUGCAAGUCCUCCGUUAAAUCCACCCGCUCAACGGUUGGGCCGCGGGGGAUACUACAGGGCUAGGAGGCGGGAGAGGCAAGCGGUACUCGAUGGGUAGGGGUAAAAUCCACUGAUCCAUUGAAGACCACCAGUGGCGAAGGCGGCUUGCCAGAACGCGCUCGACGGUGAGGGAUGAAAGCUGGGGGAGCAAACCGGAUUAGAUACCCGGGUAGUCCCAGCUGUAAACGAUGCAGACUCGGUGAUGGGCUGGCUUCGUGCCAACCCGGUGCCGCAGGGAAGCCGUUAAGUCUGCCGCCUGGGGAGUACGGUCGCAAGACUGAAACUUAAAGGAAUUGGCG